ensembl:lncRNA
CGCGAAGCAGAGCCCACGGGUGACGCCGGCACAGAUCAGGACACGGGGUGGCAGCCAAUUGGCCAAAGUUCUGGCUUAGGCUGGCAGUGGGACCGUGAGUGAAGGAGAAGGGAGGCAGUAAGGUGCUCUGCUGGGGGUGCCUGUGAGAUGGACGGGGCGCUGGAUUUCUCUAACGGCUUUGUGAGUGAUGAAGGAGGGUGAACGCGGCAUGGGCUACAUUCGCUGCUGCUGACCUGGGAGGGGUUGGAGAACCAGCGAGAAAUGACACAAAGGGGUCUUUGAGAUGCAAGUGUGGGGAAGGCCCAGCAGAGUGUGAGAGUCCCGUGGGGCACGGUCUCUGCAGGCGGGUGGGAAGUCAGCAUCCCGGGCCCUGAGGAGCCACACUGCUCUGGAGGGAUGACACGGGGAGAAGUGGCUCCCGAGGGCAUGGCAGGAGCCGGGGAAAUGCCCCAGGGAGUUCACCACUAACAGAGCUUGGGUGUUUCCGGUUUGUCUCCUUGCUCUCUUGCUGAAUUCCCGCGUGGCCUGUCUGGCGCCCCAGGAGCUCGGCCAUGGCUGCGUGCUGAGCAUUUGAGGAGGGGGAGGGACUGUCGCACUGGGUCAGGCCAGGGGCCCUGUGGUGCGGGGUCUGACUGUGGCCAGUUGUUCCAAAGGAAGGGGUAGCGAUGGGAUCACCAGUCCUGGGGGGUGCUGGGAUUUGAAGAGGGAGAUCGUGUGGUGCCAGGAAGGGGGCAGGGGAAGGAAGGAGCGCUAGAGAGGGCUGAGCACAGCACAGUUGUGGGCAUGGGCAGGGAGAGACACUGGGGAGCACACGGCCCUGGGUUACUGGGACCCCAAUGCGUGGGGAGUUCAAAUCCUCACACUGCAAACAUGCCCCUCGUCCUCACUGCCUGGCCUGAGCCCGUGGAGGAGCCGUGUCUCUGGUUAAAGGCAGAUGCUGCCUGGAAUUGGGUUCUGGAUCAUUCCUGCCACGCCCUGGGUGACCCGGGAGGCCCAGAGCGUGACUCGUCUUUCCCUUGGGCAGGCUCCAGUGGCCUCGACGCAGAAAGCCCAGCUCAGAUGGAGCGAGGGGACAGGCUGCGUGUGGGCGAUCGCAGGGAGAGGAGAGAGAGGGGAACGCCUGACGCCUAUGGCACAGGUUCUGCUGACCUCAGACCCCAGGUGUUUAUUAAAAUGGAGCAGGAAGAGGAGCCAUGCAUGGGGGGGCCCCCAGAGCAGAGAGAGACAGGAAUUCUCCAUGCCCCUGGCACAGGCACAGGCUGGCCUGACGUGAAGCAUGAGAUUGUGGUGAAAGUGGAGCCAGAUGACGAGUCAUAUGUGGGGUAUCCCCAAGGCCUAGGGGACCGAGACCUCCCCGGCUACCCCAGCACUGGUAUCAAAGCAGAGAUCGUGGUCAAAACAGAGCCCGAGGACGAUGCCUACGGCGAGUGUGCCCAGCAUUACGGUGAAGGAGACGGUCCCAACGACCCCUUCUGUGACGCAAACCCAGAGAUUAUCGUGAAAGUGGAGCCAGACGAUGAGUCGGCCAUUGGCUAUCCUCAGGACCUGAGCGAAGGCAGAAUUCCUGGCUACCCCAGCCCAGGUGAGCCAUGCGGAUCCCCAGAGCAGCUCUGGGGACAGGAAGAGCUGGAAACUCAGGGGGGCCCUGUACGAAAUUGGCGAGCCAGGCUCGCUGUAUUGUGCCGGCUCCUGGCACAUGGAUCCUGCAUAGCCACUGGCUGCAGUGGAGCCCAGAACUGCAAAUUUCCCUGCCCUCGUGAGCGAGAGACCGCCCCACUCCAGGGGGGCCGG